CUCUCUAAAGUUGCUUCCCUUCUUUUUAUUAUCUUCUCACCUCACGGAAAAUUGUAGAAAUUUUUCCCUGGAAAAGGAAGGAGUACGAUCAUCAUCUUAUGGAACGGGAUUAGCUUUUGCUAAAAUUUAGAAAAUUGAUCAAGCGGGCUAAGCAAUUCUAUCUUCAGGCUAAACUCUUCUGGCGUGGAGGAAAAGCUAAAUAUGCUUUAUAGAUAGCACAGGUUCAGGAGAAAGGGUUUCCCCUCUAUCAGACACAACAAAAGGGUUAGCAACGGUGGUAGCCAACCAAAGAGCAUAUGAAAAAUAGCGGUGACGAGGCAUUAAUGUGGGCAUGCAAUCCUUCAUUAAUUCAAAGUCAUGUACGAAACACUAGCUUGUUAGGAGACGAAAAUCAGUGAAUGAACCAGAUUUCAGCCAAGACCAUUAAGAAAUUUUAUUCUUGAGAGGGUACAGAUUUUUCAGAUGGACUUUGCUAAAAAAUUUUAGGAUGAUUUACGUUUCUCCGAAGGUAGUGUAAUGCGUUUUGAUUGUAAAUCUGAACACAAUCUCCUUAGUUUGCAAUGAUUGGUGUUUACUUGUUUUAAUGUGAAUACUUUCAACAUCCAAGUGCUCUUGGGUUUGUAAACGAGAAAUUUCAAUUCAAACCGAAGCUUUUGAUAGUGAUUUCAGAGCCCUUGAUUUGCAGGUGAUCAUAGUCUCAAAUCAAGUUACUAGCCUCUUGAUUGUUUCAGUUUUCUGAACCCAAAGCCUUUGUGCUCUAAAUUCAGUUCUUGGCCAUGUAAUCUUGUCAUGCUUAGAUAUCCAUAUCUAGUAACCUGCCGCCUUAAUUCUGGUGCGUA